AUACGGAGGCUGCAAGCGUUACUCGGAAUCACUGGGCGUAAAGCGCGCGCAGGCGGUCUUUUAAGUUGGAUGUGAAAGCCUACGGCUCAACCGUAGAACUGCAUCCAAAACUAUUAGACUAGAGUGUGGGAGAGGAAGAUGGAAUUAGUUGUGUAGGGGUAAAAUCCGUAGAGAUAACUAGGAAUACCAAAAGCGAAGGCAAUCUUCUGGAACACUACUGACGCUGAGGCGCGAAAGCGUGGGGAGCAAACGGGAUUAGAAACCCUAGUAGUCC
rnacentral:rRNA from 1 species